UACGUAGGGGGCAAGCGUUGUCCGGAAUCAUUGGGCGUAAAGCGCGUGUAGGCGGCUUGGUAAGUCCGCUCUGAAAGCCCGGGGCUCAACCCCGGGAGGCGGGUGGAUACUGUCAAGCUCGAGCCCGGAAGAGGCGAGUGGAAUUCCUGGUGUAGCGGUGAAAUGCGCAGAUAUCAGGAGGAACACCAAUGGCGAAGGCAGCUCGCUGGGACGUGACUGACGCUGAGACGCGAAAGCGUGGGGAGCAAACAGG
rnacentral:rRNA from 1 species